UUGAUGAACCUCACGUUUUAAAUGGGUCACCAGAUGAAUAUUUUGGACCCAGCAGAGAUGUUCGACAUGGAGUGAAAUACAAAUGCGUACACAAUUUCCGGCUUGUAGGGAAACCAUAUGUUGCAUGCAGCGACAGAGGUGAUGGUCAUGCUGAAUGGGACAUUUUAUUUUCCUGCUAUCCAGGAAACUGCCCACAUGACAAUGGAUAUUUGUACAACCAGGAUUUACAGAUCUGCUACAAGCUACACCGUGUUGAAUCUCAGUACACGAUAGCUAAAGAAAAAUGUAAACAGGAAAAUGGUUCUUUGAUGAGAAUUGAUAUGGAGGCAAAGCAGGACCAUAUUGCCCAAUAUUUGAAAACACAAGGAGAGUACCUUGCCAACAUUGACUUUGUCUUCAUUCAAGGCAGCCAUAACAGAAAUGAUGGUUCAUCAUUAGACUGGAGAUAUGACGAUGGUACACAAAUGGAUUAUUUAAAUUGGUACCCCAAUCAACCAGACAGUACUUCUCCUACAGGAACAGAUUAUUUAUCUUUGUAUAAACCAGAUGACUUUAAAUGGCAUGAUGUAUGGUCAACAUACAUAGGGAUACCGCUAUGUGAGAUAGAUCUAGCCACAUAAGACAUCAACAAUUACUCUUGUAUAUAAGAAGAUAGACAAUGUUAAAUUGAGUAUCUAAGAAUGUCGACUUCCUUUUUUUUUUAAUGUUUCUAAAUAUAUAUAUAUAUAUAUAUAUAUGCAAAGCUUAACAUAAACUGGGAAUUCAGAAAUAUUAUCUUUGACAUAUUGAAGCACAAUACAUCUUAUUUCAAUUUUACAGAUAUGUUUGGUAUUAUUUUAAUUUCAGUGUAAAUAAAAUGCUCCGUUGGAUGCUGCUUGAUAUGAACGCAGAGGUACAACCCUGAACAGUUGGGCAAGUAAGGACACAACAUUUAAGCUUAAAAUAGCUCUGAAUUUGGAUUGUGAUUGAAUAUUUGACACAGCAUGGGUUUUUGACACAAAAUGAAUGUGGUCAAAGAACUGAAAAAUUUGAAAUUGGACAUUUACCUAUUAUGGUCCAAUAUCCAAAAUCAAAGUACAUGGUUAGAACCAGCAUAUCAAAGAACCCCAAGAAUUCAAUUUUUAAUGAAUUCAAACAACAGUUUUAUUUAAGACCCUUUGGACCUCAAUGUGGAUCAAUUUGAUAACAGAGCCAAAAACCCAUAAUCAAAAUACAUGGUUAGAUUCAGCAUUUCAAAGAACCCCAUCAAUUCAAUUUUUGUAGAAAUCAAACAAAGUUUAAAUCUGGACCCUGAUUUGGAUCUACUGGAAAACUGGGCCCAAAAAUCCAAAAUUUAAAUACAGGUUUAGAUUCAGUUUUUCCAAAAAACCCAUAUAUAUUUAAUCAUGUUGGAAUCAAACACAGUUUUAUUUUGGACCCAGAUUUGGAUCAACUUGAAAACUGGGCACAAAAUCAAAAAUGCAAAUACAUGUUUAUUAACAGACAAUAUAAGCUAGUGUUUCAUCAAAAAAUAAAUAAAUGGGGAAUGUGUCCAUGGGACACAGACAUAACUCCAGAACAGUAAAUAAAGGCAACAGUAGUAUACCGCUGUUCGAAACUCAUACAUCGAUAGAGAUAAAACCAAAUCCGGGUUACAAACUAAAACUGAGGGAAACGCAUCAAAUAUAAGAGAACAACGACACAACAAAAACACAACAUUAAAAUGUAACACACACAGAAACGAACUAUAAUGUAACAAAGGCCAUUUCCCUUACUUGGUACAGGACAUUUUAAGAAAAAAAUGGUGGGUUGAACCUGGUUUUGUGGCAUGCCAAACCUCCCGCUUUUAUAGCAAUGUUAAAUAUAACAUUAAAAUGACAACAUUACAUGACAUGACUACAAUACAAAUAAAUGGGAGAACAUACAGGACAAAGAAACACACGAAUAAUAGCUAACAAAAGGUACUAGGUUUAAAAUUUAAUACGCCAGACGUGCAUCUCGUCCACACAAGACUAACCAGUGACGCUCAGAUGAAAAAAGUUUGAAAGCCAAAACAAGAACAAAGCUGAAGAGCACCGAGGACCAAAAAUUCCAAAAUGUUGCGCCUAACACGGCCAGGGUUUUCUGCUUGGGACAAGAACAUCCUUAUUAUUUAGAAUAAUUUAUACUUUUGCAAACAGUAAAUUUUAUAAAAUGACUAUACAAUAGAUAUACAUGAUAAAACGGAAGUGGGGACUAACAACAGAAUAAAAACGGAUACAUUACAUAAAACAACUUAAUCCAACACAUAAAUAUACACAGCCGAGUUAGCCAAAGCCUCAACGCACAAAGUGACGUCACAUUUGAAAUUCUAAAAAAACACACAAAGUGACGUCACAUUUGAAUUUGUAACAGUGACGCUACCCAAAUUUGUACUUGAUCUGGGUUUUGUGGUAAUAAGCAUUGUGUAAAAUUUUCAUAACAUUUGGUUGAGGCAAACUUAAGUUAGAGACCGGAAACGAAAAAUUCAGCAUUUUUCCAUUUGUAAAGGGGCUCAACUCUAGAACGGUAAAAGUGACGCCACCCAAAUUCAAUAUUGAUCUGUGUUUGGUGGUAACCAGAAUUGUUUCAUAGUAUUUGGUUGAGGCAAACUAAAGUUAGAAAACGGAAACCAAUUUUUGGACGUACGGACGGACGUACAGACGAACAAGGGUAAAACUUAAAGCCCCCUCCGCUUCGGCGGGGGCAUAAAAAUAUAUAUAGCAUUCAGAAACUUAGUUUAAACAGAACAAACAAACCUACCACAAAAUUCUUGAAACAAUUUACCAAAGAAAAGAAAAAAUAAUUUCCAAAAUAUCAUUUAUCAUUAAUACAAUGUCUUUAAAAAAUCUAUAAAACUUAUCUGUAAUGAUCUUCAAAAUAUCUAAUAACGAAAAGUAAAUUUCGAAAUAUAUUUAUACUGUCCUACAGAGCUUAUCAUCAACAACACUUAGGAAACACAAAUUUUUCACAAAAAUCUGUCACUCCAAUUAUAAUUGUGUAAUUGAUUUUACGAUCAUUUCUUAUCAUUAAUGUAGAUUUUCUUUUCAGUCUGGGCACGGUAUUUUACAGUUAUCAUACAAGAAAACCAGCAACAACAAAAAUUAAAGAAGGCAAAUAAAUUUUAGAUGGUAUAAAAACACUUAGUGUAAUCAAACUUUAUAUAUAUAAUUAAUAGUUCCCAAUACUUUUUCUUUCAACUUAUCUAUCAAUGUCAACAACUUUAUCUACACAAUGUAUUGUAAUGAAAUAUAUCCUUUAAUAAAAAAAGAUUAUUAUCUAAAAACAAUUUUUUUAUUAAGAUGUUACAUAACAUAAUAUAUGGCACAAUUAUAUUUAAAAACUUCACUCAGCUACACUUCCACUUCAAUAGAUGGACAAAGGUCUAUUUUAAUUUCCAAGGGAAUUUUCAAUGAUAAGAAAAUAUUCAAACAUGUUUACAAUCUUUAAAUAGAACGCAAUGCAUACACAAUGAUCACCACAAUUAAUGUAUCUGAAUCAGCAAAUCUAUUUUAAACUAUGAUUCAAUUUAAAAUUUCUAUAAUAAAUCUAUAAAUGUAGAGCUUAAUUAACUAUUUAAUAUCCAACCCUCCUAUUGUGGUAUGGAACAUUGUGCUAAAACUUCUUACAUAUCCAUACACUUAUACUAAAGUUAUUGUCUGUGAACCAAUUGAUUUUCCAUGAACCAGUGAUGUAAACCACAAAAAUAGUUCUCUAAAACUAGAUAUGAUGUUAUAUCUAUAAUUCUUAACCGGAUUUUCGAAGUAAAAAUCGGUUAUUGAUUUGGCGAUGUACGGCGGGCGGCUGCCAAUCAGUGUCCGUUCAUUUACAUGAAAACGCUUAAAAGAAUUUUUUUCAAAUUUAGAUAUGUUGUUUCCUGUGACUAAAUGAAGGUCAAGUUCAAUUUUCAUGAUUUUAGCUUUUCUCGUUAGUCAGUUAUAGCCCUUUUCCAAGAAUUCAAUUUUUGAGGAAUUAAUCCAUUUCUGCAAGAAGGGAAAUAAUUUAUUUUCAAAAAGAUUUUUAAAUGACAUUGUAUUAAUGAUCAAUGACAUUUUGGAUCUAUUUUUCUUUUCUUUGGUAAAUUUUUCGAACAAAUUUGUGGUAGGUUUAUUAGUUAUCUUGGUGUAAUCAGGGGUGUACAGAAUUUUACACCGUUCUUGAAAAUUUAUACACCCUGAGGCGCAGCCGAAUGGGUGUAUGAAUUUUCAACAACGGUGUAAAAUUCCGUACACCCCUGAUUACACCAAGAUAACGAAUUUAUUUCUUAUGAACAAUUCCUUUACUCAUUUUUAGAUAGGAAUGUAAAAUUGAAAAUGCUAAUGAAAAAUUUCCAGUGUAACAUGUUUUCAACGUGGAAGUUGCUGCGCAUUGUCAAUUCUACACUUAUAGAUUUAUUAUAGAAAUUUUAAAUUGAAUCAUAGUUUAAAAUAGAUUUGCUGAUUCAGAUAUAUACUUUUUUUCUUUAUUUUUGGGAAAUUCAGAAAAUUUUUGUGUUCUUUAGAAUUUUUUGGGGGAAAAAAUAAUAAAUUUCAUUUCACGUGUGUUAAUUUUAAUUUUUACUUGAUCCUGUUCCAUAUUUGUAAAUUCAUUAGAUAAUAAUCUAUUUGUAUUAAAGGAUAUAUUUCAUUACAUUACAUUGUGUAGAUAAAGUUGUAGAAUUUCAUAGAUAAGUUACAGAUCUUUAUUAGUUUGUUCAGAGAACAAUUGAAGGUCUUUCCACUCAUAAAGAUCUUUUUUGAAAUAAAACUAUUAAAAUUUGGUUUUAAAUAUCAUAUUCAGCGUCUAAUGAUAGUUUAGUGUACACUGAUUCCAAAAAUACAUGGUUUCUAUACAUUUUUUUCAAAAUAAGGGAGAUAAAUUGUUACUUCCGGUUUGAAAGAUGUCACUUCCGGUUUUAUUUGAUAGCUUACUUGAUACUGAUUCCAAAAAUAUAUGGUUUAAUAUACUUUUACAUUAAAUAAGUACAAAAAAUAGCUAAUUCCGGUUUACACAAGGUCAUUUCCGGUUGGCUUUUCCAUGGUCAAGUGGCUUGCAACGUAAUGCAAAAACUCCUAUGGCUUUAUCACGUAUACAUACGAGGUAAAAGCAAAGGUCAAAAUCAAUUUCAAGGUCAUAAACCGAGGGCUUCAAAUCAAAAGACCAUAGGUCUUAAUUAUAUAUGGUUAAUGAGUUAUAUCACAUUACGCCUAAUUUUUAACAUAAGAGGGGAGAAAAUUCCAAUUUAAUGUUAGCGUACCAUUUCAACCAAAAUUUAUGUGUAACGACAUGUCGCAACUUACAAUUUAGUAAAAAUAUCUUGUUGAUAUCUUAUACGGUUUUUGAAAAGAAGUGAAAAUAAGCCAUAAUCAAAAUUUAAAGUAUGACCUUGACCUCUGACCUUGACCUUAUUUUCUUAUUUUUGGACCAAUGACCUCAAAUCAAAAGAUCCUAGGUCUCUAUCACUUAUGGUUUACAAGAUAGAAAUGCAUAUCACUAAUAACAAACAAGCAAUUUUAUAAAAUAAAUUUGUCGCUUUCUUUUACGGUUACAGAGGAGAUGCAGUCACAAGGAAAACAGUGUUCGGGGAGAUAACUCCUACAAAGAAAAGUCUUCUGUUAAGCAGGGUGAAUUUCAAAGGCACAUAAACUGUUCGAUAUCAUGUAUCAAACAUCUAAGCGACAUCUUGCGUAACAAAAUUUAUACGCAAGAAAUAAAAGUGGCGGAAGAAGAAAAAAAAAAUAAUAAUAAUCAGAACAAAUACAAUAGGUCUUUCCACCGAAAAGUGGAAAGACCUAAAUAUUGGGAACUAUUAACUAUAUAUAUAAAGUUUGAUUACAGUAAGUGUUUUUAAAUGAUUUUUGCCUUUUAUCAAGAUAAAACACCAUCUGGUAGUUGUCAAUCACUCAAUUAUAAUUGUAGUGACAGAUUUAUUUGAAAACUGUUAAUUAUAUUAGAUUAUAAUUUGAAAAUAAAUAUAUCAUCAUAUCUAAUUUUAGAGAACUAAAGUUAAAUCAUAUCUAAUUUUAGAAUUUACAUUAUUGGUUCAUGGUAAUAAAGUUAUUUCCCUUUGAACAGAAAUGGUUUAUAUAAGAAGUAUUUCAUCAAACAUUGAAUUCUUUGGAUUUCUUGAUAUGCUGAUUCUAGCAAUGUACAUAGAUUUUGGACCAUAAUAGGUAAAUGUCCAAUUUCAAAUUUUUAGUUCUUUGACCACAUUUAUUUUGUGUCACAAACCUAUGCUGUAUCAAAUUUUCAAUCACAAUCCAAAUUCAGAGCUGUUUUAAUUUUAAAUGUUGUGUCCAUACUUGCUCAACUGUUCAGGGUUAGACCUCUGCAGGAAAAUCCGGUUUGCUGUCUCUCUGACAGCCUCUUGUCAACUAUGACCCAACUUACAAUUUCUGUUAAUUGUCCAAUAACAUCACUGAAUUUAGAUUCUGAAGAAAUAUGUAAUAAUAGCAUACUUUCUGACACAGAAUGAAUGUGGUAUAAGUUCUUAAAUAAUUUGAAAAUUAUACAUUUACCAAUUAUGGUCCAAUAUUCAAAUUCUAAAUACAUGGUUGGAUUUAGCAUAUCAAAUAAACUGCUUCGCUGAGCACAGCUGGAAAAGCCAGCAGAGGUCCAACCCUGAACAGUUGGGGCAAAAAUGGACACAAUAUUCAAGCUUGAUACAGGUCUGAAUUUGGAUUGUAAUUAAAUAUUCGACAUAUAGGUUUCUGAAUAAAUGUAGUCAAAGAACUUGAAAUUGGUUAUAUGAAUUGAAUUUAUAUUCAAUUAAAGAUUUCUUGCUGUUGUGUAAUACACUGUGCUGUUGUGCAAUACUUAGUAAAUCUGUUGUCAGACUAUAAACAAAUAAAGUUCAAUUAAUUCUCAAUGUCAUAUUAGAAAUUUAUGAAAAUCAAAAGGGAGCUUACAUCAAUAGAUAUAAACAAUUCACCAAAGUUUCAUGAGAAUUGCUGACAACAUUUUUGAGUUAUUGUCCGAAAACUGGAAAAUCCCCCCUUUUUUAAUGAAUAAAGCCCCAUAACUCGGAAAUGUAAAAUGUAAAGUUUAUAAAAUUCUAAAUUGAGCUUACAUCAAUAGAUAUAAACAAUUCACCAAAGUUUCAUAAGAACUACAGAAAGCAUUUUUGAGUUUUUGUCCAAAAACUGGAAAAUCCCCCUUUUUUAUGAAUAAAACCCUGUAACUCGGAAACAUAUAAUCUAAAAUUUAUAAAAAUCGAAAGGAAGCUCAUGUCAAUAGAUAUAAACAAUUCACCACAAUUUCUUGCAAGUUGGUGAAAGCAUUCUUGAGUUAUUGUCUGAAAACUGGAAAAAUCCCCCUUUUUUUAAUGAAUAAAACCCCAUAACUCGGAAACAUAAAAUCUAAAAUUUAUAAAAAACGAAAGGGAGCUCACGUCAAUAGAUAGAAACAUUUCACCAAAGUUUUAUGCAAAUUGGUUAAAGCGUUUUUGAGUUAAUGUUCGACAUGUUGACGUCGGACGGACAGAGGUAUACCAUAAUACGUCCCGUACACGGGCGUAUAAAAACCACAUCGUUUCAUUUUUUGUUAAAAUCAAACUAAGUUUUAUUUUGGAUACAUUGGACCUUUAUGGGUCCAGUUUGAAAAACGGGCCCAAAAUCAAAAAUUUAAAACACUGUUAGAUUCCACACAUUAAAGAACACCAAUGAUUUAACUUUUGAAGAAAUCAAACAAAGUUUAAUUUUGGACCCAAAUUAGGACAAACUUUGAAAACCAAGCACAAAAUCAAAAAAUCAAAACACUGAAGGAUUAACCAUAUCAAAUAACACUAACAAUUUAAUUUUCAUAAUUUCUACAUAUCCAAAUACUAGUUUUUCAUGGGGUACAUUAGCUAUAAAAAGAAGGUAAACCUGUUAUUUAGUGAGUGAAAAGUCAUUCAUGUAUACAACUAUUUUCUUCAUUCAAGCAUAAAAAAUAGUUUCAUGUAAAACCAAAUGUUACUAAACUGUGUUGUAUCAUGGAGAAGAAUAUACUCGUAAAAAACAUUGAUAGAUCACCUAUAUUAUUAAUGAGAAACCAGCAAAUGUUUCUAAAAAUAAGAUUUUAAACCAGAUAUUUAUCAAAACUAAAAGAACAUACAGACAGCAUACAAAAAAACAGAUAUACAAUAGUGAGUCCAGUCACAUCUGUGUUAUGGUAUAUGAGGGCAAAAAAUAGCAUUUCAUCUGGUUGAUAAACUCUAUCCCAACUUGUCCACCUUAUUUCCCAAUUUGUUGCAAUUGCAAAGAAUGAAAUUUUUUUUCUGAAGAAUUCUGCUGAAUAUGAUACUUUAAGACAAAAUUUUGAGAACACUGCAAGACUGAUUACUGUAAAUCAAAAUCAAUGGUGAAUGUGUCCAUGGGACACAGAUGAUGCAGCCCUUGCUUGCAUAUAACGUCAUAAAGCGACAUAACUCAAGAACAGUAAAAGUGACGCCACCCAAAUUGGAACUUGAUCCGAGUUUUGAGGUAAUAAGCAUUGUGUAUUAUAUAUAGUUACGGGUUAUGUCCUUCUCAUAUAUUUUAUGAUGGUAUGAUACUAAACCCCUAACAGGAGGGAUUGUACUUGAUUUUCAUAUAAUGAAGACAUAAUCUUUCAAUCAGUUAAAUUGAGGUCUGGAGCUGGCAUGUCAGUAACUGCUAGUAGUCCUUUGUUCAUUUAUGUAUCAUUGUCAUUUUGCUUGGUUUCUUUUGUUACCUAUUAUGACCUCGGACUCAGACUUCUUUUAAACUGAGUUUUACUGUGCGUUUUACUAUGCGUUUCUUUAUUCUACAUUGGCUAGAGGUAUAGGGGGAGGGUUGAGAUCUCACAAAACAUGUUUAACCCCGCCGCAUUUUUGCGCCUGUCCCAAGUCAGGUACCUCUGGCCUUUGUUAGUCUUGUAUGUUUUUUAAUUUUAGUUCAUUUAUAUGUUUUGGAGUUUAGUAUGACAUCCAUUUUCACUGAACUAGUACACAAUUUUAUUUAGGGGCCAGCUGAGGACCACCUCUGGGUGUGGGAUUUUCUCGCUGCAUUGAAGACCCAUUGGUGGCCUUAGGCUGUUGUCUGCUCUUUGGUCAGUUUGUUGUCUCUUUGACAUAUUCCCCAUUUCCAUUCUCAAUUUUAUCAUAACAUUUGGUUAAGGCAAACUUAAGUUAGAGAACUGAAAUAAAAAAUUCAGUAAUUUUUCCAAUUGUAAAGGGGAAUAACUAGAACGGUAAAAGUGAUGCCACCCAAAUUCAACUUGAUCUGUGUUUUGUGGUAAUAAGCAUUGUGUAUAGUUUCAUAACAUUUGGUUGAGGCAAACUAAAGUUAAAGAAUUGAAACUAAUUUUGGGACGUACAAGACAGACAAGAGUAACACUUAAUGGCCCCUCCACUGCGUCGGGGGCAUAAAAAUAUUGCGUGCAUUUAUUAUUGCGAUUUUUGAAGAAUGAACAAAAAUUAGUUUAAUCAUCGUGAUUUUAGGAAAAGCUUCAUACAGAUAUCUGUAUUUGAUAUCAGAAUUCUUAUUAUUGUCAUGCUCAAGUAGUCAAACUAUUAGCAUUAAUAAAAAGCUUGCAAUAAUUUCUAAAUUUACAGUAUAUGGUUCUAUGUGUUCACCCCUAUUGAUUACACAUUUUUAA